CCCUCAGUUAUAAUCUUCUGUAAUCAUAACUAAAUCAACUAAACUUUGAUGUAUACUGCACAAAUCAACAUUAUGCAAAACCACUUGCCAUAGUUAAAGAUCUAAGUGAUAAAUAGUGUGCCAGCUAUCGCGGUUAUACACUAACUCAAAGUUAACUUCUAUUAGUUAUUUAAAUUACCUGACCACAAUUAAAAUCCUAAUAGUGAAAAGUACAUAUUUCAUACAACAAUACAUCUAAAUCACCAAAAGUUAAACAAGAAACAAGGAUUAGAUACCCUUCUAUCCUAAACUUAAAUCAACCAAGAAGUAAAAUCAAACAAAAACUUAACCAGAAUGGCAGUAAGAAACCCAUCAGAGAAGGCUGUACUAUAACCGAUAACCCUCGUUAAUCACCCCCUAACCUAACAUUUUAUAUAUCGCCAUUGAAAUCUUACUUA
rnacentral:rRNA from 8 species